rnacentral:rRNA from 1 species
AGUGAACGCUGGCGGUAGGCCUAACACAUGCGAGUCGAACGGCAGCACAGUAAGAGCUUGCUCUUACGGGUGGCGAGUGGCGGACGGGUGAGGAAUACAUCGGAAUCUACUUUUUCGUGGGGGAUAACGUAGGGAAACUUACGCUAAUACCGCAUACGACCUACGGGUGAAAGCAGGGGAUCUUCGGACCUUGCGCGAUUGAAUGAGCCGAUGUCGGAUUAGCUAGUUGGCGGGGUAAAGGCCCACCAAGGCAACGAUCCGUAGCUGGUCUGAGAGGAUGAUCAGCCACACUGGAACUGAGACACGGUCCAGACUCCUACGGGAGGCAGCAGUGGGGAAUAUUGGACAAUGGGCGCAAGCCUGAUCCAGCCAUACCGCGUGGGUGAAGAAGGCCUUCGGGUUGUAAAGCCCUUUUGUUGGGAAAGAAAAGCAGCAGGUUAAUACCCCGCUGUUCUGACGGUACCCAAAGAAUAAGCACCGGCUAACUUCGUG